CCCAAAAGCAAGGAGUUCAUACGCAGGCAAGUUCACUGCUAAAGGAAGAUUUUUUCCUGUUGUAAAACAAGAUCUAUGCAAAAAAACGUGGAAUUGAUUUAUCUUGGUGGCCUGUUAAGAGUUAAUCGAUAAAAUAACAGUUGCUACCUUAUUACGAGAAACUAGCUGAUUAGAAACUUGAUUAAUGGGAUGAUUUUUCAUCACUAUAAUUAAAGCACUGCAUGGCUUCUCUUAUAAUUGAUAUUUAAUGUUUACAGGGAAGGCUGGUUGCCUAUAAGACACAGAUUUUUUUUUUUUUUUUCUCCAAUUGUUCACCUGUGGGUCAGGCAGAGGAAGCCAAGCAGCUCUUCUAGCAGUGGGGAAGAAGGGAGAAGAAGAUGGGAUGCAGCUGGUCAGGAUCAAAAAGCAGCCUUUCCAUUGCGAGAGAAAUGGAAGAUCAGUGUUUCAUAGGCUAAGAUACAGCUGGAUUACAGUCUAUGAGUAGGAGAGAGUUGUUGGUUUGUUUAUUUGUUUGUUUUUCUGACAGCAGAGGUCUUGGUAGUCCAAGUUGCAAAGACCCAAUAGAAAAUCCAAACCAGAAAUAAGAUCCCACCUUCUGUGGUGCUUCUCUUCAUGUCCUGUUCCAGCUCUGGCAUCAACAUCAGAGAGGCUUCCUCAGCCAGAGGUGGUACCUCUGCAUUUAAUUGUCCUGGAGGAAAUUUCUUCAUUGACUUUGUCCACAAAAUUUUGGGCCACUUCCCAAGAGAGGCAGUGGACCCUGCCACAUUGGAUGCUUUUUCUGAAAGAUCUGCUCCAGUCCCUCCAGCCUGUGUUCCCUGGGUAUCAGUCUGUAAUGUCAGUCAUCUUCCCUGGCCUUGAUGUCUGUUAGCUCUUCAGCUAAAACUAAUGCAUUGGAUUGAAAGGAUGGAAGUCCUUUUGCCUAGAAAAUCCUUCAGCAGUGCUCAUGCCCAGUGUGAUAAAGGCCUGACCCAAAGCCUGUGUCAGAUUCUGCACCAACUUUAGCUGCUUUGGGGCAGGCCUGCAGGACGCAGAUGUAUGAUGGAGAUACAGAGCUAUGCCAAGUGUUUGCAUACAAGUGUUAAGACCAUAGUUCAUGCUAUGUUACCUGAUCUAAAUUAGAUUACUGGGACAUACUAUAUGCAUUUUCUCCACUGAAGAGUGGCUGUUAAGUCCUAACCACCACAUUCUGUCUCUUUUAAUUACCAGCAUUCAUCCAUUUUUUAGUCUCUAACAGAAGACUGCAGCCCUCACUAGAAAGAAACUGUCAGCGAUCAUGCCAGAAUACAAGCAAGAGGCUUGCUCCUGUGUAAAAGCAAGUCUCCAAGUCUCCGUGCAUCCCAGGUCCUGUCUUUGUGUCGGCCAGCAUGGGUGGCAGCUGUGAUGGCAGAUUGGGGAUGGGCCAAGGUUAAGCAGCGAGGCCGCCGGCACUGUUCCAGCUCUCAGUCUGGCAUCCUUCGUGCGGGGAGGUCGCGCUCGCUCCUGUCCCCUGUUGAGUGCUGGGCUCCUCUCUUCCGCAUCAAUCCGUCCGUCUCUGUCAGGAUGGUGUCUUGCUGGGGGUGGGUAUGUAUGCAACGAACGUCACACCACCCCGAGCGAAUCUGCAAAUCUAAUAAUCAAAACCAUCGCUGAUGCAUUAUUAAAAUUGUUUUGUUUUUCUUUCCUGCAAGCAAGAACCGGAGUAUUUGGAGGUGGGUAGAUAGUGCUAAAUUGUGUUUAUUGCACGUCUGUUGAAUAUAUAACACGUCUGUGCGACCUCCCUGAAGACUUAUACAAGCCUUUGCACAACAUAAUAAUUCUUAAACACUUAGAAAUGCAUACAAAUACCCUGGUGCGACGACAGGAAUCUUAGACCUCACAUGCUGGGUGACGGAUGCUGCUGGGGGGCCACAGCUGCCCAGAUCCACAGAAGACCUCUCUUGCUGUCCAGGAGCAAAUUGUUAAUGCAUUCUCCAGGAGCAGCAGAGAAAUCAGCGAAACCUGGGAUGCUGCAGGUGGACUGUAUCUCAGCAGAAUUCUGGUGAACUGUUGGAGAUACCUGGGUGAGCUAUCAGUGUGCCUCGCAGUUUUAUGGUUUAAAUAUGGCUUUAGAAGCAAUGCUUCCAUCAUCUGCUUGCUUAUUUCAUU